GCGGACUCGAGAGGGCCGGGCUACGUGGUUGGCGGCUCUCCGAGCGUGGCUUGCCAGUCAACGCCUUCAGGGCGGGGUCGGGCUCUCUUCGGGAGUAGGAGAAAGCCUUCCGGGAUUGUUCUGACCUCACGCUGCACACCUCUUCUCAAAGAACAAGCUUGUGGAGAGCGUAAGGCCAGAGGAACCCUCAUCGUGACCCCAAUUUCUGCAGCUCCAGGUCACCUCAGAAGUCUUGGAACCUGCUGGCAAUGGAAAGCUCUGCACUGCCCCUGGGAAAUGAGUGUUUGUGAAGAGAAAGACUGAGUCCCCUAUGGUGGUCUUCAGCCCGCCCAUCUCGUCCUGGGGAUCAGCUUCUUGAGGCCUCCACCCCAGCCAGGUGGGCCACAGUGGAA